rnacentral:rRNA from 1 species
UACGGAGGGUGCAAGCGUUAUCCGGAUUUACUGGGUUUAAAGGGUGUGUAGGUGGCGCCGUAAGUCGGGUGUGAAAUUUCGAGGCUUAACCUCGAAACUGCAUUCGAUACUGCGGUGCUUGAGGACUGGAGAGGAGACUGGAAUUCAUGGCGUAGCAGUGAAAUGCGUAGAUAUCAUGAGGAAGACCAGUGGCGAAGGCGGGUCUCUGGACAGUUCCUGACACUGAGACACGAAGGCCAGGGGAGCAAACGGG